rnacentral:rRNA from 1 species
GACGUAGGGCGCGAGCGUUGUCCGGAUUUAUUGGGCGUAAAGAGCUCGUAGGCGGCUCAUCGCGUCUGCCGUGAAAACCUGUGGCUCAACUACAGGCUUGCGGUUGAUACGGGCGGGCUAGAGUUCGGUAGGGGAGACUGGAAUUCCUGGUGUAGCGGUGAAAUGCGCAGAUAUCAGGAGGAACACCGGUGGCGAAGGCGGAUCUCUGGGCCGUUACCUGACGCUCAGGCGCGAAAGCUAGGGGAGCGAACAGG